rnacentral:rRNA from 1 species
AGAUGCGGUCAUACCAGCACUAAAGCACCGGAUCCCAUCAGAACUCCGAAGUUAAGCGUGCUUGGGCUAGAGUAGUACUAGGAUAGGUGACCUCCUGGGAAGUCCUCGUGUUGCAUUCU